rnacentral:rRNA from 1 species
UGGGGAAUUUUGGACAAUGGGCGAAAGCCUGAUCCAGCAAUGCCGCGUGUGUGAAGAAGGCCUUCGGGUUGUAAAGCACUUUUGUCCGGAAAGAAAUCCUUGGCUCUAAUACAGUCGGGGGAUGACGGUACCGGAAGAAUAAGCACCGGCUAACUACGUGCCAGCAGCCGCGGUAAUACGUAGGGUGCAAGCGUUAAUCGGAAUUACUGGGCGUAAAGCGUGCGCAGGCGGUUUGCUAAGACCGAUGUGAAAUCCCCGGGCUCAACCUGGGAACUGCAUUGGUGACUGGCAGGCUAGAGUAUGGCAGAGGGGGGUAGAAUUCCACGUGUAGCAGUGAAAUGCGUAGAGAUGUGGAGGAAUACCGAUGGCGAAGGCAGCCCCCUGGGCCAAUACUGACGCUCAUGCACGAAAAGCGUGGGGGAGCAAAACAGGAUUAGAUACCCUGGUAGUCCACGCCCUAAAACGAUGUCAACUAGUUGUUGGGGAUUCAUUUCCUUAGUAACGUAGCUAACGCGUGAAGUUGACCGCCUGGGGAGUACGGUCGCAAGAUUAAAAACUUAAAUGAAUUGACGGGGUCAUAGCUGUUUCCU